CUCUGGACCGAUCACUGGAUCCAGGAACAGUGCGUGGCCGAGUUUGCACCGGCGAUCCUUGCCCUCGUGCCCAAACGACGCCGGAAAGCCCGCUGUGUGGCGGACGGCCUGCAUCUUCGCUCUUGGACCCAGGACAUUCAAGGGGCUCUUGGCCCCGUGGCGGCUCUUCAGUACUUGGAGCUUUGGCGUCGCGUCCGCGACAUCCCCCUCUCCUUCGCUCCUGACGCCAUCCGCUGGCGGUGGACGGCUUCGGGCAUAUACUCUGCCAAGCCCUGCUAUGAUGCCCUCUUUCUUGGUUCCAUCUCGGCGCUGCACGCCAAACUGAUAUGGAAACGUGGGCUCCGCUAUGCUACAAGGUCUUCAUCUGGCUAG
rnacentral:rRNA from 1 species